rnacentral:tRNA from 1 species
UGCAUCGGCCGGGAAUCGAACCCUGGCCGCCCGCGUGGCAGGCGCGCAUUCUACCACUGAACCAUCGAUGC